AAUAGUGCGCAUGUCCGUAAGAGCCAUGUUUCCCAGAAUGCACCACGCCCGGCAGCUCAUCUGCGCGCUUUAUCACCCGGCUUCCUUUCAUCUCGGCCGUCGAGGGGAGAAGACGUGGAGUGUCGCCGCUCCAAUGGGUCCGCAGUUUUCAGGCAUUGUUCUGGGGGGUUCUGGAGAAGCGAGAUCAACUCUGGAUGUGUGGUGGAGUCUAGGGGACCCAGAAGGGAUGUUCCUGUUGACCAGACCAGCCAAUCACAGCUCACCGAGAACGAUGCUGCCGUAGGACAACGCCAGUCCAGGCUAGCUAACUGCAGCUCACAGAAAGCAAUGCCGCCAAAGACAGACUCCAGGCGAGGCUAGCCGAUCACAGUUGGCUGUGAGUGUGUUCUGGGGGGUUCUGGAGAAGCGAGAUCAACCCUGGAUGUGUGGUGGAGUCUAGGGUAAGGCCCUCUCGCCCUGCGGACUGUCCCGUCAGAGCUGGAAGCCCAACCCCAAAUGCCCCACCCCCACCCGGGUCAAAUCCUGGCACAGAGGGACACAGUGCUGUUUGAGAUCGUCGCAUGGAACCACACACGCACGCGCGCGCGCGCGCGCGCACACAUGCACAGACACACACACACACACACAUACACUCGUCCUGACAUCUGUGUGUGGCGGUGGAGACUAAGCUGAUGUAGUUUCUGAAUGGUGAUGCUUGUUCUUGGCGCACUGGGCAGCCAGCGGUCUGAUGUACAGGUAAAUCUAAAGCUCUGACUGUCCAGGGUGCACAGGUAAAUCUGAAGCUCUGACUGUCCAGGGUGCACAGGUACAUCUGUAAAGCUCUGCCUGUCUCCAGUGUGCACAGCUAAAUCUAAAGCUCUGACUGUCCAGGGUGCACAGGUACAUCUGUAAAGCUCUGCCUGUCUCCAGUGUGCACAGCUAAAUCUAAAGCUCUGACUGUCCAGUGUGCACAGCUAAAUCUAAAGCUCUGACUGUCCAGGGUGCACAGGUAAAUCUAAAGCUCUGACUGUCCAGGGUGCACAGGUAAAUCUGAAGCUCUGACUGUCCAGGGUGCACAGGUACAUCUGUAAAGCUCUGAUUGUUUCACCCUAUGAUGGUGAAGAUGACUAAACAGAACAAAUAAUAAAUUUCAGUUAAUGGAA